rnacentral:lncRNA from 1 species
UUGGUUGAUUUUUUUAGUUGAUUUUUUUAAUUCUGUUAAUCCCAUCCAGACCCUCAUACAUGUACAUGUAUCAAAAUAAUCCAGACUACAUAUUAUAAUAUUUAAUAUGUGACUCCCUCCUCCAUGAUUUGGACCCUCAGUUGCAAUGCAGUCAACCAUUCCUUCCAAUUGUUGUGCCCCUUUUCCAUAUUAUUGACCCUCAGUUGCAGUCGACCAUUCCUUCCUAUUGUUGUAAGUUAUAUCAUUAUUGCAUCUGAACAGAUGUUUUUUUAAGUCUGAAGGCUGGUAAUGAUUACAUACAUAUAUAUCAACAUAUAUACAUAGAUCUGACAUUGAUAUGAUCAAUGUCAGACUAUGAAAGAGUCUAUAAUAGUUGUUAAGUUGAUAAAUUACUAACAGAAAUCAUAAGUUAUUUACAAAAUCUUGUAUUUAUUGUGCAAACACUCUAUUUUUCUAUUUAAUACUAUUACUUCCCCCCUUUUUCUAUUAGAAAGUCAUAUUUUGAGCGAGAUAAUUGACAAUAAAAGACAAUUUCCCCCUAGUUUUUUCUGAUUUACUAAUACUUAAAUCAAUAUUUAUAGACAGUUGAAGAUCAAGGAUUUUGAAAAAAGAGCCACUUCCAGGCCCCCCA